AGAUUCUUCACCUUGAAUUUUUUGGAUUGGAAAUUCGGUGAAGCCUCUAUAAUUCCAAUGGAGCACUGCACUAGUUUACUAGCUGUAUUAUUGUUUGACGAGUUACGUGAUUGUUUUCCUUUGAUAAUACACAAGCUCACGAUGAUCCCGAUGCGUGAAGACUGCACCACGCCGAGCGGGCCGGGCGUGGAUUAUUUUUAAAACUAUAACAAGGUCUCUGCUAUUAAAAUUUGGUACAAAAUUAGUACUUAGUAAACUGAGAAAUUCGAUUUCUGUCAGCUGUAGUAUUUUUUUGUUUCCCGAGCACUGGCAUGUCUCCCUUCAAAUCAAGUUUCAAAAUUGUCCUCUGUUAUAAACCAUUGUUGAUAUCCACAAGCGGUGGUGAUCAUUUACAUAUUGACGCUUGAAAGGCUAACGUGACUAAGCGACAAUGCGUGAACUUUACAGUAGACUAAUUUAAAGUUGAAAUACCUGAAAACAAAAUUUAUUUUAACGAAUCCAGCUGUAGUAGAAUCUAGCUAGUAGCUGUAGGAUUGAAAUGAUUUUAAUAUACCUAGAAAUAUAUUUUUUUUUUGCCCAUCGAAAAUGGUUAUUGUCUAUCAUUUAUGUACAAAGCAGUUGUUGUCGCUUAGUCACUUUUGCCUAUCAAGCGUCGAUAUCAACUAUUAUGUCGGGCCAUGCAUCGUCUGCCUGCUGUUUGAAAAAUAUAAUGGAAAGUUCUGUUGUACGAGCGGUAAGCUAUCAAAGAACAAAUAUUGCUCAAAUAAAAAAAAAAAACUGAACGUCUCAAAGCGGUAUUGGUGGAAAAAUAUUUGUUCAUUUAAAAAACUAAAAGAAACUUGAUGUCUUCAAUAUUCUAAAUUAAUAAUAAUUGGCGCUCUCCCAAAAACCACGUCAACUUGAAGACAGUAUUAAUUGCUUCCUCGCAUAGUGUAUACAUACAAUAUAUAUAAUAUUCAUAUUCAAUUAUUUUCCAAUGGUAUUUUUAAUUCAAACGAUAACAGUUUCAAACUUAUUAAAUAUUAUAUUUUUUUUAAUAAAGGAUUACUUGUGA